AACGCACAUUGCGCCCUUCGGUAUUCCGUUGGGCAUGCCUGUUCGAGCGUCAUUUAAACCUUCAAGCUCUGCUUGGUGUUGGGUGUUUGUUCCGCCUCUGCGCGUGGACUCGCCUCAAAUCUAUUGGCAGCCGGUCAGUUGGCUUUCGCGCGCAGCACAUUGCGUAGCGGCUCCAGCUUGCCUCCUACCAUUAAGCUAUUCUACAUCUUUUGACCUCGGAUCAGGUAGGGAUACCCGCUGAACUUAA
rnacentral:misc_RNA from 1 species